GGGCUUGACAUCCCACGAACCUGAAAGGGAAGGGAUCCCGCAAGGGAAGCCGGCACAGGUGGUGCAUGGCUGUCGUCAGCUCGUGUCGUGAGAUGUUGGGUUAAGUCCCGCAACGAGCGCAACCCUCACCCUCUGUUACCAGCGGGUUAUGCCGGGCACUCUGAGGGAACUGCCCCGGUCAACGGGGAGGAAGGCGGGGACGACGUCAAGUCAUCAUGCCCCUUACGUCCUGGGCUACACACGUGCUACAAUGGCCGGUACAGAGGGCUGCAAACCCGCGAGGUGGAGCUAAUCCCACAAAGCCGGCCUAAGUUCAGAUUGUAGGCUGCAAUUCGCCUGCAUGAAGGAGGAAUCGCUAGUAAUCGCGCAUCAACACGGCGCGGUGAAUACGUUCCCGGGCCUUGUACACACCGCCCGUCACACCACGAAAGUCGGCUGUACUCGAAGUCGCUGAG
rnacentral:rRNA from 1 species